UACUAGGUUGGUGCAAAAGUAAUUGUGGUUACUGCCAUUUAAAAGUAAUAACAAAACCACAAUUACUUUUACAC
rnacentral:miRNA from 1 species